rnacentral:rRNA from 1 species
CACAUGCAAGUCGAGCGGGCGAGGUUGCUUCGGUAACUGAGCUAGCGGCGGACGGGUGAGUAAUGCUUAGGAAUCUGCCUAUUAGUGGGGGACAACAUUCCGAAAGGAAUGCUAAUACCGCAUACGCCCUACGGGGGAAAGCAGGGGAUCUUCGGACCUUGCGCUAAUAGAUGAGCCUAAGUCAGAUUAGCUAGUUGGUGGGGUAAAGGCCUACCAAGGCGACGAUCUGUAGCGGGUCUGAGAGGAUGAUCCGCCACACUGGGACUGAGACACGGCCCAGACUCCUACGGGAGGCAGCAGUGGGGAAUAUUGGACAAUGGGCGCAAGCCUGAUCCAGCCAUGCCGCGUGUGUGAAGAAGGCCUUUUGGUUGUAAAGCACUUUAAGCGAGGAGGAGGCUACUUGGAUUAAUACUCUAGGAUAGUGGACGUUACUCGCAGAAUAAGCACCGGCUAACUCUGUGCCAGCAGCCGCGGUAAUACAGAGGGUGCGAGCGUUAAUCGGAUUUACUGGGCGUAAAGCGUGCGUAGGCGGCUUCUUAAGUCGGAUGUGAAAUCCCUGAGCUUAACUUAGGAAUUGCAUUCGAUACUGGGAAGCUAGAGUAUGGGAGAGGAUGGUAGAAUUCCAGGUGUAGCGGUGAAAUGCGUAGAGAUCUGG